GUAAUAACUUACUUGUGGAGUACCUAUAUAAGGAAAUCAUAGGCGUACAGUAAUACUAAUCGUCUAGAAGUCUCUUCAUUGUGUGUCACGUCGAUAGAAGGAAAUAAAACCAUUAGCCAUGAAACUGUUAAUCUUUGUUACAUUGAUUUUGUCAAUCGUUGCUUUCGCAAGUGCAAAAUCAAAACUCUUCUGUGAUUCAGCGUGCGAACAUAACUACGCUCCUGUCUGUGGCACAAACGGACAAACUUAUACCAACAGAUGCUUAUUGGACUGUCGCGGUGCAACGUUUGCUCACAAAGGCGUGUGCGAGUCCGCUCAAGAGUCUGGUCAGGAUGAUUCAACCACUGAGGCAUAAGGAUCAAUGAGCAUACAUAAUGAAGAAAUUCAAAACAAAUUAUAGCAAUACAUUAUUUUAA